UAGGGAAUCUUCGGCAAUGGACGAAAGUCUGACCGAGCAACGCCGCGUGAGUGAAGAAGGUUUUCGGAUCGUAAAACUCUGUUGUUAGAGAAGAACAAGGAUGAGAGUAAAAAUGUUCAUCCCUUGACGGUAUCUAACCAGAAAGCCACGGCUAACUACGUGCCAGCAGCCGCGGUAAUCGUAGGUGGCAAGCGUUGUCCGGAUUUAUUGGGCGUAAAGCGAGCGCAGGCGGUUUCUUAAGUCUGAUGUGAAGGCCCCCGGCUCAACCGGGGAGGGUCAUUGGAAACUGGGAGACUUGAGUGCAGAAGAGGAGAGUGGAAUUCCAUGUGUAGCGGUGAAAUGCGUAGAUAUAUGGAGGAACACCAGUGGCGAAGGCGGCUCUCUGGUCUGUAACUGACGCUGAGGCUCGAAAAGCGUGGGGGAGCNAACAGGGAUUAGAUACCCUGGUAGUCCACGGCCGUAAACGAUGAGUGCUAAGUGUUGGAGGGUUUCCGCCCUUCAGUGCUGCAGCAAAACGC
rnacentral:rRNA from 1 species